GCGCGUGUGGCGAAAUUGGUAGACGCACCAGAUUUAGGUUCUGGCGCCGCGAGGCGUGGGGGUUCAAGUCCCUCCACGCGCA
rnacentral:tRNA from 1 species